CUGUUAGGUACACUUUUGUGUUG
rnacentral:siRNA from 1 species